rnacentral:rRNA from 1 species
UACGUAGGGUGCGAGCGUUGUCCGGAAUUAUUGGGCGUAAAGAGCUCGUAGGCGGCUUGUCGCGUCGGAUGUGAAAGCCCGGGGCUUAACCCCGGGUCUGCAUUCGAUACGGGCAGGCUAGAGUUCGGUAGGGGAGAUCGGAAUUCCUGGUGUAGCGGUGAAAUGCGCAGAUAUCAGGAGGAACACCAAUGGCGAAGGCAGCUCGCUGGAACGGUACUGACGCUGAGGCGCGAAAGCGUGGGGAGCAAACAGG